AGGACAUCAGCACACACAUGCCUGUAAAACUGUGAGCCAAGAAACGUUAGUGCAGCAGCUGGGUAAACCUGAUGUUGAUGCGGAUGAACUCUUUUUCUGUGUUCUUUUCUUACAGACAGGACCUCAAGGUCCCUUCACUUGCUGAGCCUCUAGUGAGCCCCCUGCCCCAUGCCUGGUGCUAUGCUAGAUGCUGAGGUCGACGCAGCAACAAGACCUUCAAGGCACCUGGGCCUGAAGUCUGCCUGGAAACUGAACCAUGCUCCAGCCAUGUUCUAUUUCUCACCAGCUGGGAUUUUCAUUUCAUCUUUCUUCUCCAAUCAGACGGGGACCUACUCACAUCCCUCUGCAUCCUAAGCUCAUGGAAGGCAUGUCAUGAAAUGGAAUGUAUCACUGGAGAUGCAGAUCUGGAUUCCUGCAAGUGCACUGACCCCAGCUGCUGGCUCUGCUCCCCUGCACUGUGUCUUCCCACUUUGAACACCCACCUAACUAAGCAACAGGUCAAAACAUUGAUCAAUGUGGUUUGCCACUGAUGAGCAGGUGAUUGAACACAGGAUACCACCUGGUUGGUUGGCCUGACUGACCUGUCACCAUAUUCCACCUGUGAUUGGUACCAGGGAUCCUCACAGGAUCAACACAGCCAAUGAGUAAGAGUGCUGUUUGGAGUUCAUACUCAAGACAUCCCUGAAAACUACCUCCAACUUGCCUCUAGCUAUGUCCACAGGAGGAAAAGGUUAAGAAAACGUGGAAUCAACUCACACAGAGGUAGAAUUGAGAGAGGAAGGGUUGGCCAUGCCUAAUGAAAAACUCAGAAAUCUGAAAUGCUCCAAUACAAAAACCUUCUGAGGAUCACAUCAGCUCUGAAGAUGUUCAGAUUUUCAAAUUAAGUGUGCUCAAUCAAUAAGUCUAUGCAAAUAUCCCCAAACGUGAAAAACCUGGAAAACGGAGCACUUUGGGUCCCAAGCAUUUUGCAUAAGGCUUACCCAACUGGAUUAAGUCUUUCAACUCUCGGAUGUAUUUUGUAUUUAUAGAAUACUUCAGUUUGGACUAGCCACGGUUCAAGUGCUCAACAGCAAUACUUGACGAACAUGUUGGAUGGCAUAAGUAUGCUUUAAAAAUUCCAAUCCUGGUGCUGCUACUAACCAGUGCUUUGACCCUAAAUAUAGACACACUCUUAUGGUGUUGAGAAGAAAAUGUAAUAGGUUACUGAAGAGCAGGUAAUAAUGAUGGCAAGGAUGGGGAGGACCGAACGCUGUGGGUUAUCAGGAAGAGCCUCUUGGAGGAGGCUGUCCGUUAUUUACCCUGGAUCUCAACAGUAAGAUGGAGCCAACCAAAUGACAGCCCAGGGCUAGGAGACCAGUGUCAUUUUCCAGAAUGAAAAUGAAGAAGCCGAGUAUCUGGUGACAGGAGACGCUGUUGUGUGACCUGUGCGGCCACCAGCAUCACAUCAUUUUCUAAGCUCAACGGUGUGGAGUGCCAGCAACAGCUGUUUGGUGUGCUGCAUAGUUUUUCAAAUAGUCCCUGCAUCUGUUCCUCCUGCAUCAAGAGAAGUAAAGAAGAGAAACAAAUUUGGCAGAAGGUGGGGAAGGCCGUGGUGGCACUAAAAAGAAAGAAAUCAAGCAA